rnacentral:rRNA from 1 species
UACGUAGGGGGCAAGCGUUAUCCGGAUUUACUGGGUGUAAAGGGAGCGUAGACGGCGAAGAAAGUCUGAAGUGAAAUCCCGCGGCUCAACCGCGGAACUGCAUUUGAAACUGUUUUUCUUGAGUAUCGGAGAGGUAAUCGGAAUUCCUAGUGUAGCGGUGAAAUGCGUAGAUAUUAGGAAGAACACCAGUGGCGAAGGCGGAUUACUGGACGACAACUGACGGUGAGGCGCGAAAGCGUGGGGAGCAAACAGG